CGGGGCGUAGCGCAGUUUGGUAGCGCGCACGGUUCGGGACCGUGAGGUCCAGGGUUCAAAUCCCUGCGCCCCGAC
rnacentral:tRNA from 1 species